ACAACAGGUGUUUUUACCUUAUACCUUUUACCUUAAAGUAACAAGUAAUUAAAGAGCAGCAGUAACAAUAGUGAGACUAAAAACAGACUAUAUACAGAUGGGAACCGGUACAGAGUCAAUGCACGGGGUCAUCGGUUAGUUGAGUUCAUAUCAAGACUUGUAUGUGUUGUGAUAUUGUUGUCAGGAUGUUGAAGAGAGGGAAAGAUUGAAGUGUCAUUGGGGUUGGACGGGGUUGGGGGAGUUUGGAAGGGAUUUGGGGGAUGGGGAGGGUCUAUUAGAAGUUAGUAGGACUCUUUUAUUUUCUCAGAAGUACUGAGUUAGGUAGGAGGAUUUAGAGUGGUGUAAACCAUGAUUGAACACACUCCAGAACAGUAGGUGGCGCCAUGCACCUUUAACGUUGGUUUGAGGACCUCCAUUAUAUCAUAGAAGAAGAAGUUGGUCUGUGAGGGUUUUGUUGUUCCUGAGGAGGGCUACUAUUCUUUUCUCUUUUGGUUUUCAAGUAUUUUCAGAAUUUAUUAAAGCCAAAGCUAAAGCUUCCCUAAACAAUUCAAUAUAUCAGUCAAUAUAUGUUCUCUGUGAUUUAUUUUCUCUCCGUCAACCGUUCCAUCGCAUCUUAACCGUCUUACCGGGCGGGCACUAGGACCCGGGGGAGGCUGCUGCUGCAGAGGCUGCUGCACCGCUCGUGACUGUCAGUCCUCCUUGUAGCUCAUUGGUUAAGCUGUGGCUCGAGCCUGUUAACAGUUAACGGACAGGAAACGGCUCUGACAGGACACAUUCAUGUGGAGGCAGUGAUGUGAAUGUGUGGUAAGUUACAAUAGAGAGAGAGAGUUUUCACUACUAUAGACUUUGGUCAUAAUCAAAGCUUUGUUAACCAAUAGGUUUUUAUGUGAGGCUGCCUGUAAGUUACAGUGUAACAGACGUUACUAAGGGUAACGGUGUCUUUUAAAUUCGACAUAAGUUAUGUGGCGAUGAUAUCUAGUUAACGUUGUAUUUAAUGUAGUGUAAUGACCUGACUAGAUCAUAAAGGAACAAUUGUCCAGACAGAGGAUUGAGUUACGAAUUGACGGUUUAUUAGCAACUUUACACAGGCUACUGUUUGGCCUUAGCUCACGCCAAAUAAAUGAAAGAUACCCCACAAGCCAAUCGGGACCUUCUCUUGUGAAGCCCAGACGGAAGAGAGAGAACAAAGGCUGAACCUUAACUUCCAAUGCCCCGCCCCCUCCACGCCACUCCGCCAACCACCAGGAUGCCCGGCAUCAGAACAUCCCAGGCAUUCCUGUGAUUGGCAGAUAGCAGGUUGAUUGGCAUGUCGGACCCCGCGAACACUGGGAACUGGAGGGAGGAGAGUAGAGCAGGACCAAGAGGUGUUCUGUACCUGUCUGUCCAGGAGGGAGGAGAGUAGAGCAGGACCAAGAGGUGUUCUCUACCUGUCUGUCCAGGAGGGAGGAGAGUAGAGCAGGACCAAGAGGUGUUCUGUACCUGUCUGUCCAGGAGGGAGGAGAGUAGAGCAGGACCAAGAGGUGUUCUGUACCUGUCUGUCCAGGAGGGAGGAGAGUAGAGCAGGACCAAGAGGUGUUCUGUACCAGUCUGUCCACAAGGGAGGACAAGGCCUGGUGUACCUGGAGAGCAGGGUGGCAGAGUUCUGACUCAAUGAGGUGCAGAGAGGAACCUACUCUCUCUCUCACUCUGUCUGUUCCUCUCCCUCUUUCUCUCCAGAGUUAUCAGUCUCUCUGCCUGCUGGACCUGGAGAGCAGGGUUCUGACUCAAUACUACUGAACCUCUCUCUCUCUGUCUCUCUGUCUCUCUCUCUGUCUCUCUGUCUCUCUCUCUCUCUCUCUCUCUGUCUCCAGCGCUCUGCACAGUCAGCAGUGGAGGACAGUGAUCAGAUCUUUACUGAGCUGAUCCGCUCCAUUGAGAGAAGGAGCUCUGAGGUGAAGGAGCUGAUCAGAGCCCAAGAGAAGGCUCAAGUGAGUCAAGCUGAAGGACUCCUGGAGCAACUGAAGCAGGAGAUAGCUGAGCUGAGGAAGAGAAGCACUGAGCUGGAGCAGCUCUCACACACAGAGGAUCACAUCCAUUUCCUCCAGAGGUAUCAGUCUCUCUCCAGUAUCAGUAUAUCUUCAGACUUACCCAGCAUCGUUGUCCGUCCUCUUCAGUACUUUGGAGAUGUGAGUAAGACUGUGUCUGAACUGAGAGAGAAACUAGAAGACUUCCUUAAAGGAGAAUGGACCAAGAUCUCCACUACAGUGAAUAUAGUGGAUGUUGUACUGCCUCCAGAGCCCAAGACCAGAGAACAGUUGUUACAAUAUUCCUGUCAGCUCACACUGGACCCAAACACAGCACAGACACACCUCUCUCUGUCUGAAGGGAACAGAAAGGUGACACUUACAGGCCAAGUCCAACCAUAUCCUGACCAUCCAGACAGAUUCACCUACUGGUACCAGGUUCUGUGUAGAGAGGGUCUGUCUGGACGCUGUUACUGGGAGGUGGAGAGGACUGGUGUUGUUUAUACAGCAGUCUCAUAUAAAGACAUCAGCAGAACAGGGACAGAUGGUGGAUUUGGAUACAAUAACAAGUCCUGGAGUUUACUGUGCUCUAGUGGUGAUUAUUGGUUCAGACACAAUAAUGUUGAGACUGAAGUAUCAGGCCCUCUGUCCUCCAGAGUAGGAGUGUACCUGGAUCACAAGGCAGGUACUCUGUCCUUCUACAGUGUCUCUGACACAAUGACCCUCCUCCACAGAGUCCAGACCACAUUCACUCAGCCCCUCUAUCCUGGGUUUAGUCUCUAUCUAGGAGGUACUGCUGAGCUGGUUAAACUGUAGUAGGGUCCACAUAGAUACUAGUCAUGCUGGUGUAGUCUAUAGCUGAGCUGGUUAAACUGUUGUAGGGUCCACAUAGAUACUAGUCAUGCUGGUGUAGUCUAUAGCUGAGCUGGUUAAACUGUAGUAGGGUCCACAUAGAUACUAGUCAUGCUGGUGUAGUCUAUAGCUGAGCUGGUUAAACUAUAGUAGGGUCCACAUAGAUACUAGUCAUGCUGGUGUAGUCUAUAGCUGAGCUGGUUAAACUGUUGUAGGGUCCACAUAGAUACUAGUCAUGCUGGUGUAGUCUAUAGCUGAGCUGGUUAAACUGUAGUAGGGUCCACAUAGAUACUAGUCAUGCUGGUGUAGUCUAUAGCUGAGCUGGUAUAACUGUAGUAGGGUCCACAUAGAUACUAGUCAUGCUGGUGUAGUCUAUAGCUGAGCUGGUUAAACUGUAAACUGAUUUGUUAUUAAUUAAAAUUCAAUACAAUGUUUUAAUCUUGUACAUUUCCAUGAAUCAUGAUGUCUGGUGUUGAUGUAUAUUGGUUGUCAUUCAGAACCAUUGAUAUGUUUUCUCAGUUGGUUCUCUGUCUCUAUGUAAUUCUCCUCAGUAUCAUUGAUCAGCUUGUUGGCUCGGUCCUAAUUGAUGUGUUCUCUGUCACCUGGAGCUGCAUGGAAAAUGGUCCAGGAACUAAAGGACAAUUCAGGACUAGUCAGCCCACUACAAGCUGGUAUCACUUACUUUCUACUAAACUAUAUGGUCUGGUUUCCCAGGCACAGAUUAAUCCUAGUCCUGUACUAAACAGUAUGUUCAAUGUAGAUGUCCAGGAAACCGGCCCUAAAUGUGUCAUCUUUCAUCCUCCCAUACUGCUCAGUCCAGCAACAUUAAACCUGUCCAGCAGGUGGUGCUGUUGACCAAACAAUAAAACCAGCAGAUAUCUUGACUUGCCACUCAGUAUAUCAGUAAUGUUCAGAAUAGUACUUUAAUAUCAUUGGAGAUUGAUGGUCUUUUUAAUCCACUAUCCAGAGUCAGGAACAGAUGAAGUUAGGUCUGCUACUGUUCAGUGAUUAAAUAUGAUUUAUGGUGAUGGGAAAUAAUAAAAAACACUCAACUUCAUCUA